UUCUGCGGGGAAGGGCCAUCGCUCAACGGAUAAAAGCUACCCUGGGGAUAACAGGCUUAUCUCCCCCAAGAGUCCACAUCGACGGGGAGGUUUGGCCCCUCGAUGUCGGCUCAUCACAUCCUGGGGCUGUAGUAGGUCCCAAGGGUUGGGCUGUUCGCCCAUUAAAGUGGUACGCGAGCUGGGUUCAGAACGUCGUGAGACAGUUCGGUCCCUAUCCGUCGCAGGCGUAGGAAAUUUGAGAAGACCUG
rnacentral:rRNA from 1 species